UACGGAGGAGGCAAGCGUUAUCCGGAAUUAUUGGGCGUAAAGCGUCCGCAGGUGGCUAUUCAAGUCUGCGGUCAAAGACUGGGGCUUAACCCUGGAAAGGCCGUGGAAACUGAAGAGCUAGAGUGCAGUAGGGGUAGAGGGAAUUCCCGGUGUAGCGGUGAAAUGCGUAGAUAUCGAGAGGAACACCUGCGGCGAAGGCGGGUUGCUGGGCUGAUACUGACGCUGAGGCGCGAAAGCUAGGGGAGCAAACGGG
rnacentral:rRNA from 1 species